GAUCCCAUAGUCUAGUGGUUAUGACGCUUCCUUGACUUGGAAGAGAUCCCCAGUUCAAAUCUGGGUGGGAUCA
rnacentral:tRNA from 1 species